rnacentral:rRNA from 1 species
GAUGAACGCUGGCGGCGUGCUUAACACAUGCAAGUCGAACGAUGAAGCCCAGCUUGCUGGGUGGAUUAGUGGCGAACGGGUGAGUAACACGUGAGUAACCUGCCCUUAACUCUGGGAUAAGCCUGGGAAACUGGGCCUAAUACCGGAUAGGAGCGUCCACCGCAUGGUGGGUGUUGGAAAGAUUUAUCGGUUUUGGAUGGACUCGCGGCCUAUCCGCUUGUUGGUGAGGAAAUGGCUAACCAAGGCGACGCCGGGUAGCCGGCCCGAGAGGGUGACCGGCCACACUGGGCCUGAGGCACGGCCCAGACUCCUACGGGAGGCAGCAGUGGGGAAUAUUGCACAAUGGGCGCACGCCUGAUGCAACGGCGCUGCGUGAGGGAUGACGGCCUUCGGGUUGUAAACCUCUUUCAGUAGGGAAGAAGCGAAAGUGACGGUACCUGCAGAAGAAGCACCGGCUAACUACGUG